rnacentral:rRNA from 1 species
UAUGUGAUCGUCUCUCGCAUAUCAAUAAGCGGAGGAAAAGAAACUAACAAGGAUUCCCCUAGUAACGGCGAGUGAAGCGGGAAGAGCUCAAAUUUGAAAUCUUAAAGGGUUUCCCUUUACGAAUUGUAGUUUAAAGAAGUGUUUUCUGUUGAGGUUUUGGUAAAAGUUCUUUGGUAUAGGACAUCAUAGAGGGUGAGAAUCCCGUAUUUGACCUUUACUUUCAACUUUGUGAUACACUUUCAAAGAGUCGGAUUGUUUGGGAAUGCAGUCCAAAAUGGGUGGUAAAUUUCAUCUAAAGCUAAAUAUUGGCGAGAGACCGAUAGCGAACAAGUACCGUGAGGGAAAGAUGAAAAGAACUUUGAAGAGAGAGUUAAACAGUACGUGAAAUUGUCAAAAGGGAAGCGUUUGACACCAGUGUUGUUUUUCUGAAAAUCAAUUAAAGAACUGUUUAUGCUAAGCUGUUUAGACUUUAUCAGCUAUCUGUUUAGUUUUGAGCUUUUCUUUAAUGCACUUUUCAGUUAACAAGUCAACAUCAAUUUCUUUUGCUGUAAAAAAGCUUGAGGAAGGUGGCUUGAGAUUCGUCUUAAGUGUUUAUAGCCUCUUGCCUAUGCAGUCGGAGAGAUUGAGGUCUGCAGCGUAGAUCCUUCGGGGCUAAAUGCAUUUGUGCUAAGUUAUAGCAUUUUAUAGACAACUUGUUGACUAUGAUUUGUCUUGUAGCUUACUCGCUUAUGUUAUUUUACCUACGCUUAGGAUGUUGAAGAUAUGCGCGACACG